rnacentral:rRNA from 1 species
CGCGAAGAACCUUACCUGGUCUUGACCAUCCCGGAGACCCUUAGGAAACUAGGGGGUGCUUCCAUCUGGAAGAAUCUGGAGACAGGUGCUGCAUGGCUGUCGUCAGCUCGUGUCGUGAGAUGUUGGGUUAAGUCCCGCAACGAGCGCAACCCUUGCCUUUAGUUGCCAGCAGUUCGGCUGGGCACUCUAAAGGGACUGCCGGUGUUAAACCGGAGGAAGGCGGGGAUGACGUCAAGUCCUCAUGGCCUUUAUGACCAGGGCUACACACGUACUACAAUGGCCGAUACAAAGGGCAGCGACACUGCGAGGUGAAGCCAAUCCCGUAAAAUCGGUCUCAGUCCGGAUUGGAGUCUGCAACUCGACUCCAUGAAGUUGGAAUCGCUAGUAAUCGUGGAUCAGCAUGCCACGGUGAAUACGUUCCCGGGCCUU